AUGAUGGUCCCAGCUUGGAGGGGAGAGGUGUGGCACGGCCCCAAGGAGGAAAGCCCUGCAAAGUUCUGUGUCCACUUUGUGAAUAAUACGGCUUUGUUUAGAAACCAGAAAUUCUUUCCUCUUUCUUGUGAAGUGAAACAUAUGUUUUGUUUCUGUUUUUGUUUUUUUNNNNNNNNNNNNNNNNNNNNNNNNNNNNNNNNNNNNNNNNNNNNNNNNNNNNNNNNNNNNNNNNNNNNNNNNNNNNNNNNNNNNNNNNNNNNNNNNNNNNCGCGGCGGGGCGGACUGCAGCCGCCCCCGCAACAGCGCACCGGCCCGCCUAGGCCGCACCGCCGCGCUUCGAUCGCUGGUUUAUAUCUCCUUGAGAAAAUUUUCCCUGUGCUACCAAUCAAGCUCACUUGGAUAUCUGUGCAAGGAUUAUCCCACAAACAGGUUUGCCUUUUCCCAAGGAAGAAGCAUCCCCCAUACUGCCUUUCCUGGCCACUAGCAAACUCUAGUCUCCGAUCUACAGUAAAGUAAGCAAGCUCUGUGACCAGCACAAGAGCCUGCCGAUAACAGUGAUGAAGGCUGCUCUGAAAAUAGUGCCUUCUAUUUUUUUUAUGUUGGCCCAUGAAAUCAGGAGUGGAUGUUGGUGGAACGGCAGUAGAGGUUGAACCUUCCCACCAAUGUUCUGUUACAUAUUGUUGCUGUGUGACAGGUGGCAGCAGAGGAACAGUCUGCUAAAAUGGCACCAGACAUAGAAGUGCACAUGAAGCAAAGGUGUGCUACUGAAUUCCUCCACGCAGAGAACAUUGCACCGAUUGAUUUUCACUGAUGCUUGCUGUAAGUUUAAAAAGACUAGCAAGUGGAUAUCAGCACAAUGAGGCAUAGCUAAUGAUGGUGACUAUGUUGAAAAGGAGUCUUUUGUAGAUGACAUUUAGCUCUUCCAAAUAGUGUUACAGUGCUCUUUAUAUCUGUUGUAAUUUCCGUGCAAAUAAAGAAACAUUACUUUUGGAGUGACUUACUUACAAUAUGUUGAGCUUAAAUCUAUCAUUCUUCUGAUAGCAAGGUGGAGUGGGAAAGAGAAAAACCUUGAUGCCACAUGAGCACUGUUCAGCAACUGUGGUAUCAGCAUAAUUUUAGCAAAAAAUACGAAGCUCAGCACCAUGCUAUGAAGAAAAUACAUGUUGUCCCAGCCAGAGCCAGUAAUGCACACCAAGAAGAGCAUAGUGAGUUUGAAGCUGUGCACUAACAUUUGUCCAGGCUUGCCAUUGAAGGGCUUUCCAUGAACAUUUUUAUACUGCUACUGUUUAUAGUAAUACUGUUGUAGCUGAAGUGACUGAGGGUCUUUAAUAGCUUUUACAUCUUUGGGUGUUUGCAUGAUUUGUGUAAGCCGCACUGUUUUGUACUUACUAGACAUACAUGCAAUCAGGCAGUCAUUCACCAUAUUUUAUUCCACAGCGCAGCAUCAGAAAGGAACGUUCUGUUUCUUUUUCUCACACUUGCAUGGUAGAAAAUGGAAUUGUAAAAUGACAGAUACUUGAUUCUCCUUUUUAAUUUCGUGAAAAGUAGUAUACUAAAUUGCCUAUUCCUCAAAGUACCCUCUAGAGAACCCAAUUUCCUUGAUGCAUAAAAGAAACUGAUGGUAAGUGAAUACAUGUAGUGUGUAUGACAUUUUAUUUGCAUCUGAUGUCUUAUUGUGUUACAUUCUUAGGCCUUACCUGUGCUUGAAUUUGGCUGUUAUUGCAUAGCCAGGAGCACUGUGCAAUACAAUUGCUAAACAAGCACUGGGAUUUCAUAGCUUGAUAUGUUGUGCUGCUCUAACUUGCUGUUUCCUGAUGUACACAGGUCUUGCAUUAUUAUUUUGUGGAAGUGGUGUGAUAUUGCUACCCAGAUGCCCCAAACAGAGGCAAACAAAGUGAGAAAGGGUGAAAGACGCACCGGGACUUUGUUGGGGUUGAGUAACACUGAAUAAACAGGUUGCUGCUGCUGUGUGCUCUGCAUACGGGUGGUUUGUCUUGGUUACACGUUGGGACUAACUGCAUUUGUUUUUCUUGCUAGGGGUGACAGGUCAGUACCUGGGCCUCUGCAGUCUCCCAGUCUUCCUGCAUUGGUCUGACC
ensembl:lncRNA